UGUGUCUCCGUACAGCGGCUACACCGGGCAGCUGCGUAGUUCCGUCUACCAGCCCACUGAGCUCGCUCUCAUCUCCAAAGCUAUAGGACAACACCUUCCAGACCCGACCUAUGACGUGGUCAUCCCCAGAGCUUCCACCACGUCCGCAGCCGACAGCGGCAGCAGCACCGCCUCCUCAAUCACCAACGCUGCGUUCGCUCAGACAAAUGGAAAUAGUGGGAACGGUCUGCACAGGACGUCCCAGUGGUGAACACACUCUCCGUCAAAUGAAUUUCACUUCACGUCUUUUCAUUUGCACCUGCUGACUGUACGCUUGCUGUUAUUUGUGGUUCCCCGAGCUGGUCGUAAGAGGAACCCUCGGCCCCGACACGUCACCGCUGAUGGAAAACAGCUAAACCUUCUCUCGACUGCUUCCCUGUGAGCCGCUGGUCUCAGCGCAGAGCUUCAUUUGGAAGUCAAAGUCUCGGCGUUACUGCAGAACAAAGACUUUUCACAGGUUGUCGUUCACUGUGCGCUCACACACGAGCAGUGACGGUGCUGAUGACGCAAAACAUGAGGGAUGAGAAUAGUUUAGCUUCAUGUUGGGGGGGGGGGGGUUCAGCUUAGCAAGUACACACAAAUGCAAAACUGCUUUCCUCUACACACACACACACACACACACACACACACAAUAUUUUAAUAACCACAAAGUUCACAUGUAAAGUUUCGCUGCUGCUUUGAAAUUCAUGUAAAUAUGUUGUGAUUGUGUCAGUGGUUCCUCAUCGUGGAAGAGUUUUAUGAAUGUUGAUAUUUAAUGAUAUUUACAGCUAUUUAAUUAUUUUAUAUCGCUUCGAUUAAACCGAGAACAGAACGCGGAACGAUCUGUCGAUACUUGGCUGUAAAUGUCUCAGGAGAUUUGUCCACUCACUCUGUUUCUUCUGUGGCUUCAGCUGUCUGUCAAAUCUUAAUUCAACCACACCCACUUUGUUUUUAAAUGAUACAGCAAAUAAAGAAGAAGUUGUGAUGUCA